rnacentral:rRNA from 1 species
GACGAACGCUGGCGGCGUGCUUAACACAUGCAAGUCGAACGGAAAGGCCCUGCUUUUGUGGGGUGCUCGAGUGGCGAACGGGUGAGUAACACGUGAGUAACCUGCCCUUGACUUUGGGAUAACUUCAGGAAACUGGGGCUAAUACCGGAUAGGAGCUCCUGCUGCAUGGUGGGGGUUGGAAAGUUUCGGCGGUUGGGGAUGGACUCGCGGCUUAUCAGCUUGUUGGUGGGGUAGUGGCUUACCAAGGCUUUGACGGGUAGCCGGCCUGAGAGGGUGACCGGCCACAUUGGGACUGAGAUGCGGCCCAGACUCCUACGGGAGGCAGCAGUGGGGAAUAUUGCACAAUGGGCGGAAGCCUGAUGCAGCAACGCCGCGUGCGGGAUGACGGCCUUCGGGUUGUAAACCGCUUUCGCCCGUGACGAAGCGUGAGUGACGGUAAUGGGUAAAGAAGCACCGGCUAACUACGUG